ensembl:lncRNA
GCUUCAACAUUUUCCCACUGCAAUGCAUACCAGGAUGGUAUUUGCAGUUCCUGUAGACUCUCCACUGGCUGUGGUCAGAAACAGAAGUUGCAGGACUUCCUCCACCAAAACGCUGAAGGGCCAGCAUCAGACCUGGGACUUGAGGAAAGGAACUGGGCUCUUCACCUGUGCUUCCUUUAUGCAUCUUUUCACAGAGGUGAUGCUGGGAAGCACCUUCCUGCGAGGUCAGCCUUUGCAAGCAGGAACGGGAGGGCUGGUGGAUAGGCUGCCUCUCCACCACACAGGCUUUCUGAAUGCAACCUUGCAGCUGUGUGACAGGUAGGAGGACAGUUUCAGCUGUAGAAAUUUUGGCAAUACUCCUUUCAGUCCCUCUGGAGCUUUCUUCAUCCUUUUUAGCAAAGGAAAUGUUUUCUCCAUGAUAACUACAUCAGCUCAGAGCCCAAAUAAGAUGGAGAUUCCUUGAAUGAAACAGCCUUGUGUACAUUCCUCUCCAGGCUGUGAUCCUUACAUCAACUCUUAUCACCAUCCUGAGGCAGAAGGCAGCCUUUCCUAGAAAAAAAGUCAGAAUCACUACACUCUUCCUUUUCUGAUUUAAGACCUAAUAUGCUACAGAGACACUCCAUUUCUCUUGACAUCCUCCACUCACUGGUACUGGUGUGUUUAUUUAUUUGUAUGUAAACAACCUUGAAAGAACACCCCUCCCAGGCUUGCAGUAUCUCCUCCACCUAGCGAAGAUACAAUCAUCACACACACUAAAGCGUAAAUAACACAGCAGCAAACCCCAGCCUCCCACCGGCAACAAGAACACAGAUCAGUGCGAAAUCACCUGAGCCUUGGGGACCCAAAAGGCUCCUGUCCUCCGGCUGCCUCCCCAGCCCUGCUCUGUUCCUGCUGGUGAAUAACGAAGCUGCGGCUGUCCCCGGCAGUGCGGGAUGCCCUUCCAUACACGUUCACAAACAGAGUUCUUACAGCUCCAGGGCACAGAUUCCAGCUCUUUUGGACCAAAAGCCUGUUUCAGUCAGCAGUCGCAUUAUGAAGAUAACUGCGUAAAUUUACUGGCACUCAAGGCUUCUAAGUAAACAUUAAAAUUAUUAAAAGUGCCCUCCCCUGGCAAUGUUCAUCCCAGAAUCUUGCUCUGUGUUUUCAGAAGGGAACAGCCUCAGCCAUCACUGCAGCACUUCACGCUGAGUACCUGACUGCUAUCCAAAACUUCUUGGUCACCCAGUGGCACCUGGACUUUAGAUACAACAUCAGAUGCUUUCCAGACUCUCACUCUGCCUGAGUGACUUCUAGGAAAUUUGGAUGAAAUUAUUUACUGUAAAUUGAUGUCAUUGCCUUACUGCAGCUCAUACUGUGUGAUGAAGACAGUAAUGAGGCUAGUGCUGGUUAAAACGCCCAAUGUGACUAAUUGCAUGGGUGAACAUUUCUUUAAUACAGACAAGGUGAAACAAUCAAAUUAAAAUGUAAAAGAUUUUAAGUACUUUGAAGAGCUCUACGCAUAAAGAGGCAUCCUGCUGGGUCUGCCGUGAGGGAAACCUCUGAGAAAGGGGCAGUGAGGAGCAGUGGGGGCAGACUGAGAGUGUCUGCCUCCUCUUCCACCAGCACAGACUUUUGCCAAGUAUCCAUCUUUCUACACUGCAGUUAUGGCUGUUACAUUAAAUCAGCCUUGUCAAACCGAUGCAGAUUUAUGUCUGAACAUUUCCACCAGCUUAAAGAUGGCUCACUCCAGUUGAACCUGCUUAUACAGGGGUACAAGCUACGUGGGCACAGGCUAACCACUACAAGGCAGCUUUAAAUCCAGAUAACCACCCAAGAAGGUCGUGCUGAUGACCAUUUAUGUUAAAUUGGUAAAGCAUUCACAAGUAGACAUGCCCUCUCUAAAGAAUAAAAGAACCUGCUUUCUGUUAAACUUGGUAGCA